CCUACGGGCAGCAGCAGUGGGGAAUAUUGGACAAUGGGCGAAAGCCUGAUCCAGCCAUGCCGCGUGUGUGAAGAAGGCCUUCGGGUUGUAAAGCACUUUCAGUGGGGAAGAAAGCCUUGGGGCUAAUACCCUCGAGGAAGGACAUCACCCACAGAAGAAGCACCGGCUAACUCCGUGCCAGCAGCCGCGGUAAUACGGAGGGUGCGAGCGUUAAUCGGAAUUACUGGGCGUAAAGCGCGCGUAGGCGGUCUGAUAAGCCGGUUGUGAAAGCCCCGGGCUCAACCUGGGAACGGCAUCCGGAACUGUCAGGCUAGAGUGCAGGAGAGGAAGGUAGAAUUCCCGGUGUAGCGGUGAAAUGCGUAGAGAUCGGGAGGAAUACCAGUGGCGAAGGCGGCCUUCUGGACUGACACUGACGCUGAGGUGCGAAAGCGUGGGUAGCAAACAGGAUUAGAUACCCGGGUAGUC
rnacentral:rRNA from 1 species